rnacentral:misc_RNA from 1 species
GUGAAUCAUCAAAUUUUUGAACGCAAAUUGCACUCUCUGGUAUUCCGGAGAGUAUGCCUGUUUGAGGGUCAGUUUAAAUAAAAAUCGGUGUGGUUGCUGCCUUUCGUGGUGACGCACCGGAUUUGGGUCGUCUUGCCUUCGGUAAGUUACCUUAAAUUUUGCAUGGAUUUUUUGAAAGUAUUUUAAUUAUUUUAAGGACGUUUGCGG